rnacentral:rRNA from 1 species
CCCUUAGAUGUUCUGGGCCGCACACGCGCUACACUGAAGGAGGCAGCGUGUACUCCUGGAUCGAAAGAUUUGGGUAACCCGCGAAUCUCCUUCGUGCUAGGGAUUGAGGUUUGCAAUUAUCCUUCAUGAACGAGGAAUUCCCAGUAAGUGCAAGUCAUAAGCUUGCGCUGACUACGUCCCUGCCCUUUGUACACACCGCCCGUCGCUACUACCGAUUGAAUGACUUAGUGAGGACUUCGGACUGGGACCGAUGCGGCUUUCGGGCUGCGUCGGUAUUCUGGAAAGAUGUCCAAACUGUAUCAUUUAGAGGAAGUAAAAGUCGUAACA